GAUGAACGCUGGCGGCGUGCCUAAUACAUGCAAGUCGAACGGAAAGACACUGAGCUUGUUCCUUUGACGUUAGCGGCGGGCGGGUGAGUAACGCGUGGAUCACCUACUUAUAUUUCGGGGAUCAUUACGGAAAACCGGCUCUUAUACCAGAGAACAUGUUGCACCGCUGGGUGCAACGGUGAAUGACGGUGUUUGUGUCAGUUAUAGAUGGUUCCGCGCUGGAUUAGGUAGUUGGUAAGGUAAAGGCCUACCAAGGCGACGAUGCGUAGCCGAGCGGAGAGGGUGAUCGGCCACACUGGAACUGAGACACGGUCCAGACUCCUACGGGAGGCAGCAGUAGGGAAUCUUCGGCAAUGGGCGAAAGCCUGACAGAGCAACGCCGCGUGGGUGAAGAAGGCCUUCGGAUCGUAAAGCCCUGUUAUUGGGGAAGAACAGAUGUGGAAGUAAACGUGGCCGUCUUGACGGUACCGAAUCAGAAAGCAACGGCUAACUACGUG
rnacentral:rRNA from 1 species